GUAGGCAGAGUGGUCUCACUCUGGACCUUAGGGGUGGAGUCCCCGCCUCCUGGUGCAGCAGCAGCAAAGAUAGAUGGGGAGCCACCUGUCAGAGGGCAGUGGGCGGGAGCCGGGGCCGCAACGGCCGCAGGACCGGAGGGCGAGCGCGACUGAGCGCACGCUCAGAGGAGCCAGCUCGCAGAAGGUGAUGGUCUAAGACCCUGGAAGCUGAAGGCCAGUGGGAGGGAAAGAUUGUCACGGAGGUGAGACAGAGCUGCGAGAGGUGGAGGAUUCUGGAGGUGACAGCAAGGAGAGUAAGAAACUACGCAGGGCGGCCGAAGCUUCUGCGGAGACUCCAGGCGGGCAGCGCUGCAGGAGGGCCCCGCCGGGGCGGGGGUGCCAUGUCUCGCGAGCGGCCCCCCCGCACCGACAUCCCCCGCAACCUGAGCUUCAUCGCUGCGCUGACAGAGCGCGCCUACUACCGCAGCCAGCGGCCCAGCCUCGAGGAGGAGCCAGAGGAGGAGCCAGGAGAGCGCGGGACGCGCCUUGGGGCCCGAUCCCGCGCUCACGCUCCAAGUCGCGGGCGCCGGGCCCGCUCGGCGCCCGCCGCAGGCGGCGCGGCCAGAGCGCCCCGCAGCCGCAGCCCCGACACCCGCAAGAGAGUGCGUUUCGCCGACGCGCUGGGGCUGGAGCUGGCCGCUGUGCGCCGCUUCUGCCCGGGAGAGCUGCCUCGGGUGCCCCGCCACGUGCAGGUCCAGCUGCAGAGGGACGCCCUCCGCCACUUCGCGCCGUGCCAGCCCCGCGCCAGAGGCCUCCAGGAGGCGCGCGCCGCCCUGGAGCCGGCCAGCGAGCCCGGCUUCGCCGCCCGCUUGCAGGCGCAGCGCAUCUGCCUGGAACGCGCCGAGGCGGGCCCGCUGGGCGUGGCCGGGAGCGCGCGCGUGCUGGACCUGGCCUACGAGAAGCGCAAGGGGUGGAGAACCUACUUCCUUUUCUCCAAGACCGUGGUUGAUCCACCUUCCUUCCUCAGGCUCCUUCUUGACAGUCUUCUAGAAAGAAGAAGGAAAAGUAGUUCCUGAUGCUGCAGAUGAACAAGGAGCUCCCAGGUAACUAGCUACCCACACCCCUUUCUGUCUGUUACAGAUUUCUCAAAAAUAUCUGGAUUCCCCUUUUAUCAUUCAGUGAGAGAGGGUCCGGGCACAUUUGCCCAUACAUGCAUUCAGAGUAGAGUAUGGAACUUGUUACUGUGCCUCUCCUCUCCAAAGCCUUAAUCCUUUGAAGAAAGAUGGCUGGAAAAGAGAAAUCCCAUCAUUCCUCAAAUGCCCAUUUAAACAUCAUCCUUUUCUGGUGAAGAAAACAAAGAAUUUCAUGCAUCUCGUGGAUCACCUCCAGGUCAGAGUUCCAGCAGAGGGAAGAGAGACAGUGUACUGGACGCCACCAAGCAAUGCACCUUUUAAUCACCAAUGAAGAGCCCAAGGGAGGAUAAUGGAGCGGGAGACUAUGCCAAGGCUCGGUGUAUAAUAAUCUCUUGCUUAAUUCUCCCCCACUGGCUUGGAGAAGGCAAAGCACUGAGGGUCCCUAGCUUCAUCUGCUCCUUCCAGGGGCUUGCUGUUGUCUCCUGUGCCAGUGUCCCAGCUCUGCAGAAUCAGCAAGGAACGACUGCACCUGCCUGCUGGAGAACUUGCGAACCCAUUUGAACUCCAGCCUCUCCAUACUUUGGAAUUCUCGCCUGGCCUUAGCCAGUCUUCUAUGCUUGGCAGAAAGAGAGACAAAAGGGACUGGUAUGUCCCCAGCCUUGGCACUUUCAGUGAUACUGCUGAAGAACAGUGAAGUUGCUAAAAUAAUCCAUUUAAUAGCUAACUUCGAGGGGAAAUGAAAGUUGCUGUGUGAAUCCCCCAAAACCACUGUUCCCAUCAGGUUCUCCCAGAACCACCUCUGACCCUUCACAGUGCAGCCCUGUUCACUGGGCUCCAGACUCACUGGUAUUGUGCCUCAUUUUGGCCUCCUCAUGCAAGUGGCCUCCCUCCUGGAUAAAAGACCUCAUAUUUGAAAUAAAGUUGAAAUAUGAAAAGAAAGUA